GUGGGGAAUUUUGGACAAUGGGCGCAAGCCUGAUCCAGCAAUGCAGCGUGCAGGAAGAAGGCCUUCGGGUUGUAAACUGCUUUUGUACGGAACGAAACGGUCCGGGUUAAUACCCUGGGCUAAUGACGGUACCGUAAGAAUAAGCACCGGCUAACUACGUGCCAGCAGCCGCGGUAAUACGUAGGGUGCAAGCGUUAAUCGGAAUUACUGGGCGUAAAGCGUGCGCAGGCGGUUUUGUAAGACAGGCGUGAAAUCCCCGGGCUCAACCUGGGAAUUGCGCUUGUGACUGCCAGGCUGGAGUGCGGCAGAGGGGGAUGGAAUUCCGCGUGUAGCAGUGAAAUGCGUAGAUAUGCGGAGGAACACCGAUGGCGAAGGCAAUCCCCUGGGCCUGCACUGACGCUCAUGCACGAAAGCGUGGGGAGCAAACAGGAUUAGAUACCCGAGUAGUCC
rnacentral:rRNA from 1 species